GGGCCCUACGGGACGCGCAGUGGGGAAUAUUGGGCAAUGGGCGCAAGCCUGACCCAGCAACGCCGCGUGAAGGAAGAAGGCUUUCGGGUUGUAAACUUCUUUUCUCAGGGACGAACAGAUGACGGUACCUGAGGAAUAAGCCACGGCUAACUACGUGCCAGCAGCCGCGGUAAUACGUAGGUGGCAAGCGUUAUCCGGAUUUAUUGGGUUUAAAGGGUGCGUAGGCGGGCUUUUAAGUCAGCGGUAAAAAUUCGGGGCUCAACCCCGUCCGGCCGUUGAAACUGGGGGCCUUGAGUGGGCGAGAA
rnacentral:rRNA from 1 species